CUAGUGAAGCUAAAUGGACCAAUUGAUGUGACUUGGAGCCAUGGUGAACCAUAUCCUGGACCUCAUGGGGCUGGCUUUAAGUGCUUUUAUUGUUUUACCACCAAAAAAGGCGAGGGGUGUCUCGAUUAAAAGAGCAUCUAGGUCACAUACCAGGGAGUGUGGAGGCAUGUCGUAAAGUGCCAAAUCAUGUGAAGGGCCUAAUGUCUCAAAAAGUAACGGAUGGGAGAAUUAGGAGGGCACGUGGUAAGAAGCUUCGUCUGUUUGUUGAAAAGGAGGUUAGUGCAACAAGACAUGGUUAUCAAAGUGCAAGAAUUCCUCUUGAUGAAGAAGCACAGAUUGAUAUGGCAAUGAGAAAUUCAUUGAGGGAUUCUUUUUCCACAUUGGAACAUGAUAGUUGUUCACCUUUCGAUAAGUCAGCUGGUAGUGCAAGUGGAGCUGCAAGUUGUUCUACAGGGAAGCAAAGCAGGCUGUCAAGGUACUACAAAAAUACACAAGAUACCUCUAGAGGUCCUUUUGACAUUGACUUGGCACGCAGUAGGACACAAGUGCAGCCACGCAUAGAUGUUAUGCUAGAGAGGGGUCAUAAAGAGAAGCUAGGGAUAACAUUGGCAAAAUGGUUCCAUGCUAAUGACAUUCCUGGAAGGAAGGCGGACUGCCCAUACUUUCGUUCAGCCCUUAAGUUAGCUCAACAACUUGGUGAUGGAGUACCAAUUCCAGGUGGGAGAGAAAUAGAUGGUCCAUUAUUGGAUAUGAAUUAUGCAAACAUGGAGGCUCACAUGGCUAAAUUCAAAGAGGAUUGGAAGGAUUAUGGAGUUACAGUCAUGUGUGAUUCAUGGACAGGUCCUACCAUGAUGUCCAUUAUUAACUUUAUGAUCUUUUACAAUGGGUGCAUGUUCUUCCACAAGUCAGUAAAUGCAACUGUCUAA